GCGCGGGUGGCACAGCGGUUACUGCAUUCGCCUGCAGAGCGAGUUUUCGUGGGUUCGAAUCCCACCCCGCGCU
rnacentral:tRNA from 1 species